GUAUGCGAUCAUACCAGCACUAAAGCAUCGGAUCCCAUCAGAACUCCGAAGUUAAGCGUGCUUGGGCGAGAGUAGUACUAUGAUGGGUGACCUCCUGGGAAGUCCUCGUGUUGCAUUCC
rnacentral:rRNA from 1 species